rnacentral:rRNA from 1 species
UAGACGAGACUCAAGUAAGACUUUAGAUAAAUAAAAUUUACUUAGUUGGACAGGGAAGGGAAAUUUAUUGUAGAUCCUUGGGUAGAAUCUCUAAAUUUGCUUAAAAACCUCUUCCCCUACAGUUGGAAUUUAACAACCCAGGUAAGAAACCAGGAUUAGAUACCCUGUUAUUCUGGGUAAUAAUUAACUGGGGUAGUAAAAGCUGUGCUUCAAACCCAAAGGUUUUGGCGGCAUUUUAUCCGGACAGAGGAGCUUGCCCUGUAAUUGAUAAUCCUCAUUAUACCUUACUUUGCCUUGUAAAGCUUGUAUACCUCCGUUGACAGAUUACCUCAAAAGAGAGUUUUCAGUAAGAAUAAUUUCAAGACUUCAGGUCAAGGUGCAGCCUAUGGCAAAGCAGAGGUGAGCUACAAUUCUAAUUAAGAAAUACGGAUGCUUAGUGAAAUUAAGCGGAAGGUGGAUUUGUUAGUAAUUAGAAUUAAGAAUCUUUUACUGAACGAAGGCAAUAAAAUGUGCACAUAUCGCCCGUCACUCUCCUUUUAAGAGGAGAUAAGUCGUAACAUA